rnacentral:rRNA from 1 species
UACAGAGGUGGCAAGCGUUGUUCGGAAUUACUGGGCGUAAAGGGCGUGUAGGCGGUCUUCUAAGUCAGACGUGAAAUCCCCCGGCUUAACCUGGGAACUGCGUCUGAUACUGGGAGGCUUGAGUAUGGGAGAGGGAUGUAGAAUUCCAGGUGUUGCGGUGAAAUGCGUAGAUAUCUGGAGGAAUACCGGUGGCGAAGGCGGCAUCCUGGACCAUUACUGACGCUUAAGCGCGAAAGCUAGGGGAGCAAACGGG